rnacentral:lncRNA from 1 species
UUGAAAUGAUCAAAAGAAAUUCACUAGACGCCACUUUUUCUGGGAGGCAGCUAGCAAAGGUAGAAUGUGUUACUACGUUAUCCCAAGAAAGGAACAAAACUGCACUAAAACACAACACAAAGAAAACAAAUUUAAUCAGUUGAACCAGAAGAUAUAAUCGAUGAAAGACUGACAAAGAUUAAACGGUAACAAUAAAAAACACGCACCUGGGAUGCAAUGCCGCAUGAGAGAAAAAGGAGAGGAGGAAGACAAUGACGUUAUCAGAAACAACAAUGCAAUGCCGCAAGAGAUAAAAAGAAGAGGUGCCGCAAGCGAGAAAAAGAAGAGGUGAAGCAAGAGAAAAAGGAGAAGAGGAAGACGCGAUAUAAGAUACUGAAUGUCGCAAAGAGUUUGCGGUUUAUUUAAAAUGAAAUGGGGCGUCGGUUGCUCCGGAAACCGACGUUUAUAGUCACAUAGACGUCGGGUAUCUAACUAAUAUGACGUUCAAGUUAACAUUUAAACUGACU